rnacentral:tRNA from 1 species
CAUUGGUGGGGGAAGGGCUGGAUCCUGAAAACCUUCUGCGGGUUUGAUUUGAAAUCAUUUUCAACAGCCUCUGAGUUCUAUUUGCUUUCGAUUCGU